GGCUGCUGCUGCGGCUGCUGCAAAGGUGGACAAAGUGGCAACGCCGCUCUGGGACGUCCCUGUGAGCCGCGUCCAAAAAGCCCGCGAGCUCGGGGCGACGGCAGGUCGCGCCCCGGACACUCGCGUCGUGGAGCCGGUCUCACCGGUGGGUUGAGGGACUGUCUGCCCUAGUGCCACUCUGGUUCACAUUUUCCUUUUCUGCCGAGUCGCCCCCAGCUCGCCACCAGGACAGUCAGAUCCUGAAGUCAACAGUAGUAACCAGUGAAAGCAUCCGUUAAAGAAUCACUGAUGAUGCUAUCUACUAUUGGUUAUUUCACAGCACCUCCAUUUUCAUAGAGCAUCUUCCUGAGACUAAACUUGGAAAGCACCGUGACCACAAAACAUUAUUCAGAGUUCAAAGGGAUGCUGGAUACAGAAUAAGCAAUUUGGGGAGAUUAAAAUUCAGGAGUUCAGUUCCAGCCUGGCAAACAAGACGAGGGAACUUUCCACCCUGCACCAGUGUUCACAUUUCUGAUUGAGUUACAAGAUUUUUCUUCUUUUGACCUCAGAA